CCGAUACAAUGAUGAUAACAUAGUUCAGCAGAUGAAAAGUGAUGAACACUCAUUUUGUCUUUCGCUCCUAUCUGAUGUAUCUG